rnacentral:rRNA from 1 species
UACGUAGGUGACAAGCGUUGUCCGGAUUUACUGGGCGUAAAGAGCGCGCAGGCGGUCGUUCAAGUCGAGUGUGAAAGCCCCCGGCUCAACUGGGGAGGGUCAUUCGAUACUGAUCGACUCGAAGGCAGGAGAGGGAAGUGGAAUUCCCGGUGUAGUGGUGAAAUGCGUAGAUAUCGGGAGGAACACCAGUGGCGAAGGCGGCUCACUGGUCCAUUACUGACGCUGAGGUGCGAAAGCGUGGGGAGCAAACAGG